UGUGGCAAGGAUAACCAUGUGGAGGACUUUUGUUACAGGAAGAAGAAGCCUUAGUCUCGUGAGGGUCAGUCUCGCCAUGGUGGACGUUCUUCACAGGGUACUAGUGCUACUGAUGGUUCUGCUCGUUCUUCGUUGGGUACUAAUGGUACUGGUGGUUCUGGUUCUGGAGGUCCUCAGAGGAGUUCUGCUGGUUCUGAGACAUAGGAGAUCAUCAGGUUGCUCAGUCGCCUUGUUUCCUCUACGCCACCGAGAGCUGCGGGUUUUGUGACUCAGCCUUCUGCACCUACAGGUUCUGCUGCUGCUUCUUAGUCUUCCACUCUGGGAUCACCUUCCACGUCUACUCCAGGUAUUUGUCCAUGGAUUCUUCAUUCUGGUGCUUCAUUUCAUAUGACUCCUGAUUGCACCUGUCUUUCUUCCAUACGUUCUCCACCUGGUUCUCCCACUGUUCAUACAGCCGAUGGUUCUUCUCUUCCUGUUGUAGGACAUGGCACUGUCGUAUCUGACUCUUUUCAUGUCU
rnacentral:lncRNA from 1 species